UACGAAGGUGGCGAGCGUUGUUCGGAUUUACUGGGCGUAAAGAGCGCGUAGGCGGUUAGGUAAGCCUCUUGUGAAAUCUCCCGGCUUAACCGGGAAUAGUCGAGGGUAACUACCUAGCUAGAGGGCGGGAGAGGAGUGCGGAAUUCCCGGUGUAGCGGUGAAAUGCGUAGAUAUCGGGAAGAAGGCCGGUGGCGAAGGCG
rnacentral:rRNA from 2 species